rnacentral:rRNA from 1 species
GACGAACGCUGGCGGCGUGCCUAAUACAUGCAAGUCGAACGCAGUGGGGACGGGUGAGUAACACGUGGGUAACCUCCCAUCAGAGGGGAUAACACGUGGAAAAAGGUGCUAAACCGAUACUGAUGGAUGGAGCCGCGGUGCAUUAGCUAGUUGGUGAGGUAACGGCCCACCAAGGCCACGAUGCAUAGCGGACCUGAGAGGGUGAGCGGCCACGCUGGGACUGAGCCGCGGCCCAGACUCCUACGAGAGGCAUCAGUAGGGAAUCUUCGGCAAUGGACGAAAGUCUGACCGAGCAAAGCGGCGUGAGUGAUGAGGGUUUUCGGAUCGUAAAACUCUGUUGUUAGGGGAGCGGUAUCUAACCAGAAAGCCACGGCUAACUACGUGCCAGCCGCCGCGGUAAUUC